GGAUGUGAGGGCAAAUCCACCGUGACUCAUGUCAUCCUAUUGGCAUGAUACCAUUGAGAUGGCUGAGUAGGCGGGUAUCCUCUUCCUUCUUNGCUUCUCCAUGUGGUUCCUCCCCAAGCUGUGCAUUUGGGGGAAGAGGGUGGCCUCAUGGAUAAAGGAAGACUGCUCUUCAGUUAUGUGGAUAUAGUAGCUAUGGUUUCCUACUAGAGCCUCCAAACAAUGUGUCAAUAACGUAUAGACCAUAAGGGCCAGUGAGAUGGCUCAAUGCAAAAAGACAAUAGCCGCCAAGCUUGAGGACCUGACUUUGAUU
rnacentral:snRNA from 1 species